AGAGAUAAGGAGGCGGGCUCUGGUCACGUGACAGGAGCGUGGGCGUUGCGUGUCCCGUCACGUGGCGUCGGAACGCGUCCCUCCCCUUCCGAGGGCUCCUCUGGAUCAUGUGAUGGUGGCGGAUUCUGAGUCCGCCUUGGGCACGUGACCAGGUCCUUGGCGCCUUCCCUUUGCCGUAUUGGGAGGCCUGCAUCACGUGACCACGCCGCCGCUCUUUUUUUCAAUGGCGGUUUCGGAGCGGCCGUGACCACGUGACUCCGGGCGAGGGGCGGAGCCUCCGUGCGGCUGCGACGGUGUGCGCCUGCGUGGGCGCCAUCUUACCCCCGUCGCCAUGAGGACGUUGGCGGAAACGGUUCUGACAGGCGGGCGCGUGAGCGGCUUCCGAGCGGCCGGAUCUCGGUCUCGGAAGUUCGGCCUCUGUCGGAGGCCGCCCCGCGGGGCUUUCUCCCUCCUGCCCGCAUCUCCCGCGAGAAGCCGAGGGGACCCGAGAGGCGCGUGCGAGGAGCGGCCGGGCCGGGCUCCCCGCUGCCGCCCGGGGCCGGCGCCGGAGCCUCGGAAUGGCAGAGCCGGGCUGCUCGGGAUCCUCCGGCCCCCUUCACCCACAUGGAGAAACUGAGGCCCAGGCAACACAAAGACCUGCGUCGAGGGCUCACGGCCCGGGCCCGGCGCCUGUCGGAUGCCCGGCGUGCGGUCUCCCUCCCCCCGGGGUCGGGGUCGGGCCGCUCGGCAGGCGGUGCGCGGGGGCGAGGCUGCAGGUGGGAGCAAGGGGCUGUCCCGCCUCCCGAGGGGUGGGAAGGCCUGGAGACUCACGGCUCUUCCUGUCGCGGAGCUUCCCCGCCUGGCGCGGGGGCGGUGCGCUCGCGUGUGAAGGAUGCAGGAUGCUGAGCCCUGUUUCCGUGUCUGCAAAACGGUGAUGAGCUUUUUAAAGGAGCGCUCGGCACGACUCUUUGGGCGGAAGAAAUGCCCCCAAAUGAUAGCUAUUAUCCGGGAGGUAAGAGGUGAAAAUGUGGUUCCAGGAAUGAGUGCAUGCCGUGCGUCCCGAUUUUCUUUUUCAUUUACGCUUUACUUAGGAUUUUGAGCCGAUCAGGUAUUGCCAUGAUGUAAAUGUCAGAUGUGCAAAAGGAUGUGAAAGGACAAAGUCAGUCUCCCUCCUUGUCUACGUGUCUACGCUCCUCCUUGGCAGCCAGCGUCAAGGUUUUUGUGUCUCGCUGCAGAGAUGUUUUACGCCUAAAGAUGCUAAAUUGUGUUUUUAUGGCCUUUUUUCACGUAAAUAAGACAUUCUGCAUCUUACUGUUUUUUCCCUUACUUGCAGAUCUGUCUUAAACGAGUAGAGGUUGAGAUUGAAGAAGGGUUUGGUAAAAGUAAGGGGGCGUGUGUUUAGACGAGAUUGGCUAAAGUAAGUUUCGGUGGUUCAAGGUCACCGUGACUGUGAGAAUGAUAACUGGCUUUGACAUUUAAGUUAGAGCCCAGCGGUGUCUGUUUGACACACGAGGGCCGGACUCAGAGGCCGGGCAGCUUGUCUAAGCCCACAGCGCUGCCAAGUGGCAGAACAGGGACAGUCCCUCGUUUCUGACUCCAGGUCCACAGGCCGUCCCUGGGAGGGGCCCUUGCGUGCAUUCCUGAAGAACCUGGUUUUGAGGCUCUCGCUCCUCUGAGGCAGCGCUUGUCACAUCCGUUUCGCAGGCACAGAUAGGAUGGUAAUGACAGGCAUGAGACUUCAGAUCAAACCACGACCUCCUUGGAGGAGCCCAGGACGGACUUGGACAGUUUUUCAACCUCAAACGGUUGCCGGUGUGGCGGGCGUGUUGCGAGGGCUGGAGCAGCGGCUGUGGACAUGCGUGUUGCUUGUUGGCCUCGUGCCCGUCCAGCCUGGCUUAGAGUGAGACAUCCGUGGGGCUGCAGUGGAAAUGUCAGGAAACCAGAACUCCCUUAGAGGUGCCCUCUGUGUGCACCCACCCCUUCCCCACCCCCCGGGAGCUGCUGGAGGAGACGUUUCCAGCUGCAAGCUUCUGCCUUCCUUGUCCAUGCUCUCUCUCGGGGCGCCAUCCAAGAUGGAAGACCCCACAUGCCAUCUGCUUUCUCCCUGCGUCUCCGCUCUGGCCCAGCCUCCCACCUUUCCUCUCCACUGCUCCCUGGUUAACAGCUCCGUGUGUGCACAACCGCACUCGCACCUCCUUGCCUGACUUGACACCCCGCAUCGUCUGGCUGUACCCCUCUUCUCCUCAUUCCACAGUCCCCCUCACUGGGUGAAGACUGAGGUCUGUCCUCGCCUCUUGCAGUCCCUCUGUCCAAACAGGUUCCGCCAUGCUCUGGGAUGUCAGUGUCCGCAGGGACUUGCUCUGCCCUCGCCUUCCUCAUCUGCAGAGACUUCUCCCCCUAGAGCACCCCUCCCCAGACGCCCCUGAUCACAUCCAAGAACUCCUCCCCUUGAAAGCUUUCUGACUGUGUCUGCUGUCUCCCCCUCAGUGGAGUGGCAUUUGGUUGACCACAGUGCUUUGGGGGACCACCCAUCUCCCUUGCUUCUCUGUAGUUGAGUUGGCAGGUUCCCACUGCCUGAUGCCAACACUAGUCACCAAAAUCAAGCAGUCGGAGCAAGUGAGCAUCAGGCCUGGGCCUUUGGGGCAAGAGAUGCCCUCAUGUCUCUGAUCGUCAAGGCAGGUGUGGUCGGAAGACAGGGUGUACCCUGAUGAAAAAACGUCAUAGAGAAUGAAGCAGUCUGGAAGAAACCUGAGCCAAAAGAUGGAGUGAGAACAGUGUCGUGGUUCUUUGAAAGACUAGGCAGAGAAUUACCAUAUGACCCAGCAAUUCUGCUUCUGGGUGUGUGCCCAAAAAGAAAUGAAAGCAGGAACUUGAGACACUGGUAUCUCCAUAUUCAUAGCAGCAUUACCCACAAUGGCCAAAAGGUGGAAGCAGCCCAGUGUCCACUGAUGGAUGAACGGGUACACGAAAUGUGCUGUAUAUGUACAGUGGAAUAGUAUUCAGCCUUAAAAAAGGAAGGGAAUUCUGCCAAAUGCUAUGAUGUGGAUGACCCUUGAAGACUGUGCUCAGUGAAAUAAGCCAGUCACAAAAGGACAAAUAAUAUAUGAUUCCACUCACAGGAGGUCCCUAGUGGAGUCACAUUCACAGAGACAAAGUGGAAUCAUGGGGGUCAGGGGCUGGGGGAGGGGUCUUUAAUGGGGACAGAGCUUCAGUUUGGGAAGAUGAGAAGCUUCUGGAGACGGAUGGUGGGGAUGGCUGCACAGCAGUGUGAAUGUGCUAAAUGCCACUGGACUGUAUACUUAGAAAUAGUUAAAAUGAUAAAUUUUGUGUAUUUUUUGACACUUUUUAAAACUAAAAUAAAAAGAUGGAGCAAAAGUGAAACCAAGGCACAGCCACAUCAUUUGAGCCCCAGGAUGUUGCGACUUGUGGGGGAAACAUGCACAUAGCCACAAACAUUGAGGCUGUCGUUCGGGCCAUGCGUAGGACCCCAGGCCCCUUGAGUCGGUCAUCUCUGCCUGCCGGGACCCUUGUGCCACCCUCACAUCCCUGCUGCUCUUGCUCUUCCCAUGGAGCAGUGUCUGCAGCUUUUGCCUGUUGGGCCUCCACUCCCUCUUUGUUCUGAGGACCAAGACUUGCUUUUGGGGAGCCGCCUCUCCCCCGCUUUAUUCCUGCCUCCCAGCGUCUGCCCUGGGCCUCACCCAUCAGAACCCCACUUCUCCCUCGGCCCAGUGACUGGUUCAGCGAUGGCGUUUCACAAAACGGGCCCAAGGAGAGGCAGCUCUGGGACUGCUUGUGAUCGUCUGAGAAAGAGCUGGGUCUUUCUGCUGGGGCCGCUGGGCUGGGAGGAUGUAAGCCCAGGGUAUACAGCUCGAUGUGUCCUUUCACGUUACUCCACUCAUUCAUUCAAGCGCCCUCACCUCAGGGCCUUUGUGCUGGCUGUUCCCUCUGCCUGAAACGCCCUUCCCUCAGUCUUCACAGCUCCCUCCCUACCUCUCUCAGCUCUCUGCCCUGUGUCACCUCCUCAGAGAGACCCACCUGCCCUAACCACCAUGUUCUAUUUCUUCCAAGUGUUUAUCACUACCUACUCUAUAUUUAGUUAUUUGUUAUGUCUCCCUUACUCCCUUGGUGAAGUCUGAGAUGGGGAAACACAGUUCUUGUUCACUCCCGUAUAUCUAGCCACGAAGUGCCUGGCUUAGAGGCCUGGGAAAAUCAAGAGUGAAUGAGUGAGUGGACGUGUCAGCCACCACACCUGCCCCCCACUGUACCCAAGGCAGUCCGGCCUCAUGGAUAGGUGAGCCACAAGGGAGCUCCCCCCAUUCCCCUUAAUCCACUUUGAGGUCUAGCAUCCGCAGUCCUAAGUGCAUAGCUUGGUAAAUGCUUACAGAGUCUACAUCUGUGCAAGCACCACCCCAGUCAAGGUAAGGAACAUUGUCACCACCCCAGAACGUUCCCUCUGCUCUCUGUAGCCAAUUCCCGGCCCUCUUGUUACAUCACCAGGAUUCACUUUACCUAUUCUAGAAUGUUCCAGAAUUGGAAGCAUCCAGCAUGAACUUCUUUGUGUCUGUUAGUUGCCUGGGCCACUGAGCUUUCUGGCGGCCUGUACCUGGCCAGCACGCCUGUGCCUGCACCCCUCGUUUCUAAAAGGGCAGCGGGGCCCCUCCUGGCCUGGCUUCCCUCCACAUUCUCUGGAUCUGUAGCUCUCAGAGUAGCAGACCACGAAUAUGGACGCUGGCCAACGCAAGCAGAAAAGAAUUUGAGGACAGCCUGCUGCUAACAGACCUCCAGGAGGGCCGGGAGGAGCUGGCCUUGAAGGCUGGGCAGCCCGAAGCAGCUGCCGGGGACACAGCGACACCACCAUGCCCUGGCCCUGCCCUGGGGAGGCGGACAAGAAUCAAGCAGAGUGUGUGCUGUGUCCCAUGGUGGCGAGUGUGGUGGACGAAAAGAAAACCAGGGCUGCCGAGCUGGGGCAGGCGAUUUUAAGCCAGGCGGCGCCCGGGAAAGUCACGGGGAGCUGAGGGACUGAGGCCAAGCCGACUGCUGGGAGAAGAGCCUUCCAGGCAGAGGAAACAGCCGGUGCAAAGUCCCACAGCUUCCACCCUCUCUGCAUGCUCCGCUCUGAGCUGCUGGCCGCCUGAUUUCACAAGGAGAUAGUCACUCCCAGCCGUGUCCUCCCGCCACCACCACCGCAGCCACCAGCACCUGUGGCGCCUUCCACAUAGCUCCAGGCACCCCCUGUGGCUCUCUCCUCCCCAGGCCUCACCUCGCCUCUCUCGACACUCACCCACAGGCGACCCCAGCCAGUCCCUCGACUUAAGGCCGUCAGAGCACUGAGCCCUUCCGUUGCCUGCCUCCCGCCUGGCUUUCCCCCCUGAGGUCCAGACGCACGUAUCUGACCAUCUAUGUCACAGCUUCCUUUGGAGAUUUUGUAUAAAGUGGGUGCAAAAUAAACCCACCUGCCUGGAUCCCUUCCAUCCACAUUAUUGUUUCUUUGCAUCUCUACAAGCAUUUUGUCUGCUUUUGCACAAGCGCCGGCACCUGCAGCUCUUUUCAGAGAACCUCCCCUGGGCUCUGGACCACGUGCCAGCAUCCCUUUGCCUGCCCACUCAGAGCAUCAGAAGGGCCUUGGAGCUUACGUUCCCCCAGGGCAGCCUUUAGGCAACGACUGACGGGUGCGGACAACUCGGAGAUGGAACAGCCUCCAGAGCUCCCUGCGGGAUGGACUAUGGGCCCUGGCAGGACUCCGCCUGAGCUUGCUCCCUCGCAGCCCUGCUUCCCCAGCGCCUCUUUCUUUCACUUCACACAUGCAAUCCAUCAGGUCAGCUCCAUCUUCAAAUUAUAUCGAGAAUCUGCAUGCUUUCGUCACCUUCACCAAGACCACCUGAGUCCAGCCCACCAUCAGCACGGACCCGGACCAGUGCGGUAGCCUCCUCAUUGGUCUCUGCUUCUGCUUUUGUGUCGUACAGUUUCUUUGUGCACAGCAACCAGAGGGCUCUGAGCAUGCAUAAAAGAUUGGAAACCUAAAUGCUGGUGAAUACUACUUUUUUUUUUUUUUUGGCUGAGGAAGAUUCACCCUGAGCUAACAUCUGUUGCCGGUCUCCCUCUGUUUUGUAUGUGGGUCACUGCCACAGCAUGGAUGCCCACCAGUGGUGUAGGUCCACGCCCAGGAACCAAGCCCGGGCCGCCCAGCAGAGUGCACUAAACUUGAAACCACUAGACCACAGGGCUGGCCCCCCUGAUAAUAGUCACUAAUACUGUGCACGUUGCCAGGGCCAGGCACCAUGCCAAGCUCUUUAUAUUCAUUUGGCUGUGCUGGGCUGUAUCCUGGGUGCCUGCUGUGCACCAGGCACUCUGCCCUGCCUGGGGUAACGGGGUAAAGAAGAGGAAGAUCUUCCUCUGUGAGCUGACACACUGGUGAGGAGGCUGACAGUGAGCAAGUGAAAUACAAAUAAAUAAUGACAGGUUUGACAAGUGCUAUGAAGAAAAUCAACAGGGUGAUGCGGUCAUCAACAAGAGAGGCCAACUUUAGAUGAGCAGGGAAGGCUUCCUGGAGGAGACCCCUGAGUGGAAAGCAGAGGAUGAUGAGGAGCUAGCCACGCAAAGAGCCAGGUGGAGUGCAUUUCAGGCAUAAGCGCUGGGGCCGGCGUGGUGGGUGAGUCAGCGAGAGGCGGGUGGCAGGGCGGAUAGGCCAGGGCCUGUGGGCUGCAGUGAGGACUUUGGCUUUUACUGAGUAAAGUGGGAGCCAUGGAGGGUUCUUGAGCAGAGAAGGAGUGUGAACACACUCAGCUGUUCACAGGCGUCCAUCUGUGCCUUUGGGGUAUGACCGAGGGCCUUCCUGGGCCCGUUCAGCUGACCCCAUCUUAUCAACAGUGUAAUUAAGAGUGGUUUUUCAGGAACUGAGAAACGACCUCUCAUCCAGUUCAGGCCAGUCGAGGCCACCAACCCAUCAACUGGGCCUGCACAAAUGCCGGAGAAGUGACCCUUUUGACAUCAAGGGGCUGGAAACUCCCCCCUCAGAGCAUACUAAUGUACCUAUAUUGUGAACAUGCGUCCUGCGAAGAGCCACGGAGCUCGACCACGCUUGCGCAGACCCUCAGUCACCUCACCUCUCUCACCUCCAAUCAUCUGUCUCCACGCUUCAGACCGCCCUGCCCUUCCUCCCACAAAUUCGGAUCGGGGAGACAGACCGGACAGCACGUGCCCCCGGCUCCUUACCGAUCCAUAUAGCAAUAAAGCUGAUGCUGUAA